GACGAACGCUGGCGGCGCGCUUAACACAUGCAAGUCGAGCGAUGAAAUCUUGACAGAACCCUUCGGGGUGAAGAUAAGAUGGAUUAGCGGCGGACGGGUGAGUAACACGUGAGUAACCUGCCUUAGACAUUGGGAUAGCCUCGGGAAACCGGGAUUAAUACCAAAUGAAAUCACAUAUGCACAUGCAUAAAUGAUCAAAGCUCCAGCGGUCUAAGAUGGACUCGCGUCCCAUUAGCUAGUUGGUGAGGUAACGGCCCACCAAGGCGACGAUGGGUAGCCGGCCUGAGAGGGUGAACGGCCACAUUGGAACUGAGAAACGGUCCAAACUCCUACGGGAGGCAGCAGUGGGGAAUAUUGCACAAUGGAGGGAACUCUGAUGCAGCGACGCCGCGUGAACGAAGAAGGCUUUCGAGUCGUAAAGUUCUUUUAUAUGGGAAGAUAAUGACGGUACCAUAAGAAAAAGCCCCGGCUAACUACGUGCCAGCAGCCGCGGUAAUACGUAGGGGGCUAGCGUUGUCCGGAAUCACUGGGCGUAAAGGGUUCGCAGGCGGAAAUGCAAGUCAGGUGUAAAAGGCAGUAGCUUAACUACUGUAAGCAUUUGAAACUGCAUAUCUUGAGAAGAGUAGAGGUAAGUGGAAUUUUUAGUGUAGCGGUGAAAUGCGUAGAUAUUAAAAAGAAUACCGGUGGCGAAGGCGACUUACUGGGGCUCAUUCUGACGCUGAGGAACGAAAGCGUGGGUAGCAAACAGG
rnacentral:rRNA from 1 species